rnacentral:sRNA from 1 species
UCCCGCGCCGCUCCCGAGCCCCUGCAGCUUCGGCGUCCCCGGGGCCGUGAGGCGCGCGCCGUGACGCCUGGGGUCUGUAGGCCUGUGAAGAACUGGACUAGGUGAGAAGAAGAAGCUUUUGACCCAUGUCACUCCCUGGCCCAGAACUAUAUCCUACCCACAGUCCCUGAAGAGGAAGGAGAAGGAAUAUGAGCAUGAAAUGGAGCGGCUGGCACGUGAGAAGAUUGCCACGCAGCAGCGGCUGGCAGAGCUCAAGCACGAGCUGAGCCAGUGGAUGGACGUACUGGAGAUUGACCGUGUGCUGCGGCAGACGGGCCAGCCCGAGGAUGACCAGGCCUCCACCUCCACCGCCUCUGAGGGUGAGGACAACAUAGACGAGCAUAUGGAGGAGGACCGGGCGGGCCUGGGCCCACCUAAGCUGAGCCAUCGUCCCCAGCCGGAGCUGCUGAAGUCCACCCUGCCACCCCCCAGCACCACCCCUGCGCCUCUGCCUCCACACCCACACCCU